rnacentral:rRNA from 1 species
AGAGUUUGAUCCUGGCUCAGGAUGAACGCUAGCGACAGGCCUAACACAUGCAAGUCGAGGGGCAGCGGGGAGGUAGCAAUACCUUUGCCGGCGACCGGCGCACGGGUGAGUAACACGUAUGCAAUCCACCUGUAACAGGGGGAUAACCCGGAGAAAUCCGGACUAAUACCCCAUAAUAUGGGCGCUCCGCAUGGAGAGUCCAUUAAAGAGAGCAAUCUUGGUUACAGACGAGCAUGCGCUCCAUUAGCCAGUUGGCGGGGUAACGGCCCACCAAGGCGACGAUGGAUAGGGGUUCUGAGAGGAAGGUCCCCCACAUUGGAACUGAGACACGGUCCAAACUCCUACGGGAGGCAGCAGUGAGGAAUAUUGGUCAAUGGUCGGCAGACUGAACCAGCCAAGUCGCGUGAGGGAAGACGGCCCUACGGGUUGUAAACCUCUUUUGUCGGAGAGUAAAGUACGCUACGCGUAGUGUAUUGCAAGUAUCCGAAGAAAAAGCAUCGGCUAACUCCGUGCCAGCAGCCGCGGUAAUACGGAGGAUGCGAGCGUUAUCCGGAUUUAUUGGGUUUAAAGGGUGCGUAGGCGGCACGCCAAGUCAGCGGUGAAAUUUCCGGGCUCAACCCGGACUGUGCCGUUGAAACUGGCGAGCUAGAGUGCACAAGAGGCAGGCGGAAUGCGUGGUGUAGCGGUGAAAUGCAUAGAUAUCACGCAGAACCCCGAUUGCGAAGGCAGCCUGCUAGGGUGCGACAGACGCUGAGGCACGAAAGCGUGGGUAUCGAACAGGAUUAGAUACCCUGGUAGUCCACGCAGUAAACGAUGAAUACUAACUGUUUGCGAUACAAUGUAAGCGGUACAGCGAAAGCGUUAAGUAUUCCACCUGGGGAGUACGCCGGCAACGGUGAAACUCAAAGGAAUUGACGGGGGCCCGCAC